GCCUCGGUGGUGGAAUUGGUAGACGCAGCGGACUCAAAAUCCGCCGCCGCAAGGCGUGCCGGUUCGAUUCCGGCCCGGGGCACCA
rnacentral:tRNA from 19 species